GAGUUUGAUCAUGGCUCAGAUUGAACGCUGGCGGCAUGCCUUACACAUGCAAGUCGAACGGCAGCACGGGGGCAACCCUGGUGGCGAGUGGCGAACGGGUGAGUAACAUAUCGGAACAUACCCUAGAGUGGGGGAUAACGUAGCGAAAGUUACGCUAAUACCGCAUACGAUCUAAGGAUGAAAGUGGGGGGAUCUUCGGACCUCAUGCUCAUGGAGUGGCCGAUAUCUGAUUAGCUAGUUGGUGAGGUAAAGGCUCACCAAGCCGACGAUCGGUAGCUGGUCUGAGAGGAUGAUCAGCCACACUGGGACUGAGAUACGGCCCAGACUCCUACGGGAGGCAGCAGUGGGGAAUAUUGGACAAUGGGGGCAACCCUGAUCCAGCAAUGCCGCGUGAGUGAUGAAGGCCUUAGGGUUGUAAAGCUCUUUUGCCAGGGAAGAUGAUGACUGUACCUGGAGAAUAAGCCCCGGCUAACUUCGUG
rnacentral:rRNA from 1 species